AACGCAUAUUGCGCCCUUUGGUAUUCCGAAGGGCAUGCCUGUUCGAGCGUCAUUACACCCCUCAAACAUCACUGUUUGAUGUUGGGUACUGCCGGAAGGCAUACCUAAAAAUCAGCGACGGUUACAAUCAACCUCAGGCGUACAAACAUCGCUAUGGUGGAAGAUGGGAGCCUGUCUCUUCAAUGAAAAUCUAAAUGUUGACCUCGGAUCAGGUAGGAAUACCCGCUGAACUUAA
rnacentral:misc_RNA from 1 species